UACAGAGGUCGCAAGCGUUGUUCGGAUUCAUUGGGCGUAAAGGGUGCGUAGGCGGCGCGGUAAGUCGGGUGUGAAAUCUCGGAGCUUAACUCCGAAACUGCAUUCGAUACUGCCGUGCUUGAGGACUGGAGAGGAGACUGGAAUUUACGGUGUAGCGGUGAAAUGCGUAGAUAUCGUAAGGAAGACCAGUGGCGAAGGCGGGUCUCUGGACAGUUCCUGACGCUGAGGCACGAAGGCCAGGGGAGCAAACGGG
rnacentral:rRNA from 1 species